rnacentral:rRNA from 1 species
GACGAAGGGGGCUAGCGUUGUUCGGAAUUACUGGGCGUAAAGCGAGUGUAGGUGGUUGUCCAAGUUGGAUGUGAAAGCCUUGAGCUUAACUCAAGAAAUGCAUUCAGGACUGGGCGGCUAGAGGACCGGAGAGGAUAGUGGAAUUCCCAGUGUAGUGGUGAAAUACGUAGAGAUUGGGAAGAACACCAGUGGCGAAGGCGGCUAUCUGGACGGUUUCUGACACUAAGACUCGAAAGCGUGGGGAGCAAACAGG